rnacentral:lncRNA from 1 species
AAUCAAAAGAAGAGGUUUAUUUAUUUAGGAGUGCUCGUGCACACACACAAGCUUUAUUGCAAAUUCGAAAGGGCGUCAUCAUCAGAAGCUGAGAACUUGCCGGUCAGGCAUCGGGUCAUCAGCUGCUGGCUGCGUGCGAGAAACUGCGAAGAAGCAAAAGGUGCGCGGCUCUAGCAGCAAGAGACGCAGCACGCCCAGCCAUAUAUCGAGCAAGUGCGGCAGUUACAGGCUCUGUAGCGGCACCCCAGCACCAGCAGCCGCCGUGCUUUGCCUCCGUCAUCGCCCGCCGCCGCCGCCGCCGCCGCC